AGGUUCCUACGGGAGGCUGCAAUCGAGAAUCCUCCGCAAUGGGCGAAAGCCUGACGGGGUAACGCCGCGUGACUGAUGAAGGCCCUUACGGGUCGUAAAAGUCUUACAGGGAAUACGAAAGAUAUUAUGGCUAAUAUCUAUAAUAUUUGACAUUAAUCCCAGAUGAAGUCACGGCUAAAUAUGUGCCAGCAGCCGCGGUAAGUCAUAUGUGGCAAGCGUUGUUGGGAAUCACUGGGCAUAAAGAGCACGUAGGCGGUGAAGUAAGUUAACUGUGAAAUCCCCCGGCUUAACUGGGGAAAUGCAGUUAAUACUGCUUUACUAGAGUACAAGAGGGGAGAGUGGAAUUCUAGGUGUAGCGGUGGAAUGCGAAGAUAUCUAGGAGAAGGCCGGUGGCGAAAGCGACUCUCUAGCUUGUAACUGACGCUGAGGUGCGAAAGCGUAGGUAGCGAACGGGAUUAGAUACCCCGGUAGUCUACGCCGUAAACGAUGGGCACUAGAUGGUGGGAGCGCCGAUAGUUCUCUCCGUCGUAGCUAAUGCAUUAAGUGCCCCGCCUGGGGAGUAUGGGCCGCAAGGUUAAAACUCAAGGAAUUGACGGGGGCCCACACAGCGG
rnacentral:rRNA from 1 species